rnacentral:rRNA from 1 species
AGCGAACGCUGGCGGCAGGCUUAACACAUGCAAGUCGAGCGGGCAUCCUUGUGGUGUCAGCGGCAGACGGGUGAGUAACGCGUGGGAACGUGCCCUUCGUUUCGGAAUAACUCAGGGAAACUUGAGCUAAUACCGGAUACGUGCGAGAGCAGAAAGGUUUAUCUGCCGAAGGAUCGGCCCGCGUCUGAUUAGCUAGUUGGUGAGGUUAUGGCUCACCAAGGCGACGAUCAGUAGCUGGUCUGAGAGGAUGAUCAGCCACACUGGGACUGAGACACGGCCCAGACUCCUACGGGAGGCAGCAGUGGGGAAUAUUGGACAAUGGGGGCAACCCUGAUCCAGCCAUGCCGCGUGAGUGAUGACGGCCUUAGGGUUGUAAAGCUCUUUUCUUCGGGACGAUAAUGACGGUACCGGAGGAAUAAGCCCCGGCUAACUUCGUG